UUCUGCCUACGGGGCGCAGCAGUAGGGAAUUUUCGUCAAUGGGCGCAAGCCUGAACGAGCAAUGCCGCGUGAGUGAGGAAGGUCUUCGGAUCGUAAAGCUCUGUUGCAGGUCAGAAAAGAAGGAAAGAGGAAAUGCUUUUCUUUUGAUAGUAACCUGCCAGAAAGUCACGGCUAACUACGUGCCAGCAGCCGCGGUAAUACGUAGGUGGCAAGCGUUAUCCGGAUUUAUUGGGUUUAAAGGGUGCGUAGGCGGGCUUUUAAGUCAGCGGUAAAAAUUCGGGGCUCAACCCCGUCCGGCCGUUGAA
rnacentral:rRNA from 1 species